GCUCUUCUAGUAUUGAUAAUACAAAUGACUUCCAAUCAUUAGACCCUGGUUUCCUAGCCCCAGGGAAGAGCA
rnacentral:tRNA from 1 species